GUAUGGUGCUGUGGUGUAUGGUGUAAGGGGAAUGGUGUAAUGGUGUUUGAGGAAUGGUGUGAUUGUGUAACUAGCGAUCGGGAAUGGUGUGAAUGAUGGUGUACGACAUCUCAUUGGUUGAAACGAAUUUCUUUUUAUUUUAUUUUUUCGAGUUGUAAACAUACUCAAUAAUAAUAAUCUUAAUAUUUGAAAUUUAAUUGCAUUAUGGGUAAUUUCGGAUCGUGUAGAUAGAAUGGGGAAUGGUGCAUGGUGUAAUGUGUAAGGUGUAUGGUGCAAAGGUGUAACGUGUAUGGUGUAAUGGUACAAGGUGUAUGGUGUAAUGCUGUAAGGUGUAUGGUGUAAUGGUGUAUGGUGUUAGUGGGAAGUUUACACCAUCCAAGGACUGUACAUGUAACUGUUAUAUUAAUAAUAAAAUAACAACAAACCAGUACAUACUCUGUGACGUUUAUUAUAAUAUGAGGCAGGCAUUACCUGUAAAUGGGGACGAAGUCUGUAUGAAUUAUUAUUUUGUAACUUAAAUAUUUGUUCAAAAAAAAAAGAAACGGAAAUACCGUAACGUUUCCGAUUUUGGUUCUGUUGUUAGGGAUUUUAGUUAUGACGUUAUUUAAAUUAUGACGUCAUAUACAAUGUAAACAAAGAAACGCUAUCAUCAGGUAACGUUUUUUCAUAUCAAGGAAUUAUGUAAAAUGAAAUUGGUAUUGCGCGUUCCUUCCUAUUUUUAUACUAGACUGAUAAAUAUAUAUUUUACUCAAAGAUUCAUGCAAACGAGACCGGAAAAAGGAAGUACAUAGUACAUUUCUGCGCAGGUCCGGGAUUUCAAAACACGACA
rnacentral:lncRNA from 1 species